rnacentral:rRNA from 1 species
CCGCACAAGCGGUGGAUGAUGUGGUUUAAUUCGAUGCAACGCGAAAAACCUUACCCACCUUUGACAUGUACGGAAUUUGCCAGAGAUGGCUUAGUGCUCGAAAGAGAGCCGUAACACAGGUGCUGCAUGGCUGUCGUCAGCUCGUGUCGUGAGAUGUUGGGUUAAGUCCCGCAACGAGCGCAACCCUUGUCAUUAGUUGCUACGAAAGGGCACUCUAAUGAGACUGCCGGUGACAAACCGGAGGAAGGUGGGGAUGACGUCAAGUCCUCAUGGCCCUUAUAGGUGGGGCUACACACGUCAUACAAUGGCCGGUACAAAGGGUCGCAAACCCGCGAGGGGGAGCUAAUCCAUCAAAGCCGGUCGUAGUCCGGAUCGCAGUCUGCAACUCGACUGCGUGAAGUCGGAAUCGCUAGUAAUCGUGGAUCAGCAUGUCACGGUGAAUACGUUCCCGGGUCUUGUACACACCGCCCGUCACACCAUGGGAGCGGGUCUCGCCAGAAGUAGUUAGCCUAACCGCAAGGAGGGCGAUUACCACGGCGGGGUUCGUGACUGGGGUGAAGUCGUAACAAGGUAACCGUA